GAUGAACGCUGGCGGCGUGCCUAACACAUGCAAGUCGAACGGAGUCCAGCCUUUAAGACCUUCGGGUCAAAGAGGGGAAGACUGAGUGGCGGACGGGUGAGUAACACGUGGGCAACCUGGCUCAUAGAGGGGGAUAACAGAGAGAAAUUUCUGCUAAUACCGCAUAAGCACACACUGCCGCAUGGCAGAGGGUGAAAAGAGAAUCGCUAUGAGAUGGACCCGCGUCUGAUUAGCCAGUUGGCAGGGUAAGAGCCUACCAAAGCGACGAUCAGUAGCCGAUCUGAGAGGAUGAACGGCCACAUUGGGACUGAGACACGGCCCAAACUCCUACGGGAGGCAGCAGUGGGGGAUAUUGCACAAUGGGGGGAACCCUGAUGCAGCAACGCCGCGUGAAGGAUGAAGGCCUUCGGGUUGUAAACUUCUGUUCUAAGGGAAGAAACGAAUGACGGUACCUUAGGAGCAAGCCCCGGCUAACUACGUGCCAGCAGCCGCGGUAAUACGUAGGGGGCAAGCGUUAUCCGGAAUUAUUGGGCGUAAAGAGUGCGUAGGUGGUUACCUAAGCGCAAGGUUUAAUUUAGAGGCUCAACCUCUACUUGCCUUGCGAACUGGGCUACUUGAGUGCAGGAGGGGAAAGCGGAAUUCCUAGUGUAGCGGUGAAAUGCGUAGAUAUUAGGAGGAACACCAGCGGCGAAGGCGGCUUUCUGGACUGUAACUGACACUGAGGCACGAAAGCGUGGGUAGCAAACAGG
rnacentral:rRNA from 1 species